AACGCUGGCGGCAGGCCUAACACAUGCAAGUCGAGCGCUCUCUUCGGAGGGAGCGGCGGACGGGUGAGUAACGCGUGGGAACGUGCCCUUCUCUAUGGAAUAGCCACUGGAAACGGUGAGUAAUACCAUAUACGCCCUUCGGGGGAAAGAUUUAUCGGAGAAGGAUCGGCCCGCGUUAGAUUAGGUAGUUGGUGGGGUAAUGGCCUACCAAGCCUACGAUCUAUAGCUGGUUUUAGAGGAUGAUCAGCCACACUGGGACUGAGACACGGCCCAGACUCCUACGGGAGGCAGCAGUGGGGAAUCUUAGACAAUGGGCGCAAGCCUGAUCUAGCCAUGCCGCGUGAGUGAUGAAGGCCUUAGGGUCGUAAAGCUCUUUCGCCAGAGAUGAUAAUGACAGUAUCUGGUAAAGAAACCCCGGCUAACUCCGUGCCAGCAGCCGCGGUAAUACGGAGGGGGUUAGCGUUGUUCGGAAUUACUGGGCGUAAAGCGCACGUAGGCGGAUUAGAAAGUUGGGGGUGAAAUCCCGGGGCUCAACCUCGGAACGGCCUCCAAAACUCCUAGUCUAGAGUUCGAGAGAGGUGAGUGGAAUUCCAAGUGUAGAGGUGAAAUUCGUAGAUAUUUGGAGGAACACCAGUGGCGAAGGCGGCUCACUGGCUCGAUACUGACGCUGAGGUGCGAAAGUGUGGGGAGCAAACAGGAUUAGAUACCCUGGUAGUCCACACCGUAAACGAUGAAUGCCAGUCGUCGGCAAGUAUACUUGUCGGUGACACACCUAACGGAUUAAGCAUUCCGCCUGGGGAGUACGGUCGCAAGAUUAAAACUCAAAGG
rnacentral:rRNA from 1 species